GGUGUACGAGAUUGCCCUAAGUCACUCCAUUUUGUAAUCAUUCCUAAGUCACUCCAUUUUGUAAUCAUUCCGCUUGACCGCGCGCCCCAACCGCCCAGAACAUUUGUCACCCAGUUAAGACAAGCAGGAACAUUCCGCUUGACCGCAUCCUGUUGCUUAGCACUAGCUGUUCUUCCCUGUUCUCAUAAAAUUCUAAGAUUAGCUGCUUUGUUAAGGGUAUAAAAGGCUAGGGCACCCCCAUUCGGGGCUGCAGCAUUAGACCCUGCAUGGCUAUGCUGUAGCCCAAACCCGGGUUUGUCUAGGGUAUGGGCACUUUCCCAUUUCCCUCUCUUUUCUGUCUUGAAUAAACUUCUUUGCUGUUUGCAGUUUUGUAGGUCAGUGGUCUUGUGUUGGGUGACUCCGUAACAUUUGGAGGCCCCAGCGAGAUCAGCCCACCAUCGCUGACCUGCAUCUGGUGGUCCGGACCCUACUGCCUGUUUUCUGCACGGCGCCGAAUAAAGCUGAUGAACUCCCUUUAGAAAGAUGCAACCACGUUUGAAGAAAAAUGGACAAAAAAAGAUGGUGAAUUUCUCUUCAGCCAGCAAAGCCCAGAAGAAAGGAGAGACACCCAUGCUGGUGACGUGACCCUGUCCUGCUACUGAAGUUAUCCAAAAUGGCUAAGAAGUCCCGCACUCAAAAGUUUCUGCAAAAGUUUAAAAUUGUUUCCUUUUCCUUUUGCUGAAAAAGAAGACAGGAAUAUCAAUAAUUAUAGCUUGGGGGUGAGGGGAUUCCCUAUUUUCCCAAGAUAUGAUUCUCAUUGUUUAUCUUAUUCACAUGAGGUUUAAGAAGUAAGGUAUAAUCAUUCUUUUUCAGCAACUACAGUUCUUAUUUCUGUAAAAAACUUUGGGGGAAAGGUCGGUAAUAUUUCCGAGGCCACUUCUACCUUGUUAUCUAUUUGCCCACUCCCUAAUGUAAAUCCUAAAAUGCAAUAAUUGGUAUAAACUUGUCGAGGAAAAUGGCCUAAGAUAUUGUUAAAUCAUACAGACUUUAAGAUAGUGGAUUGGGCCCUCUCAUAAUAUUACUAUUACUCGUUUUCAUUAAGACCGGUGCUGUUUAACAAAAUCAUGGCAUUUUUAAAACAGCAAAUUAAAGCUGUUCUAGCGAAGCCUAUUCAAGUGCAUUACCACCGUUUGAAAAUGUUAGACAAGGGUGGCCCACUCCCCAACUCGCCUGAGUGAUAAGACCCCCUUCCUUUGUGUGCUGGGCUGGACAGUCAAUGACGGGUAAGAUCAGGCACUGUUCAUACCAACCUAAGACAGGCCCUGGUUUGCCAAAAUGUAAUUAAAAGCAUUCCUCGAGACCCAUGACGGGUAAGGAUGAAUCAGUGACCUGACAAUGUAAGACAGACGCAGUCCCCUAAAAAAUAUUCCAAACUUCAUUGCACAAAUACUUUGUGCUCGCUAUUAUACAAAAAAAGUGGACAUGUGGGAGUCUGCACAUGUGGGAAUCUACACGUCCCUCAGCCCAUGGCCUCCUCCGCCGCCGCUGUUGGGUUCGGAGAAGGCGCGCUCGAACAUUCUAUCACCGCCACCAAUGAUUUGGCUGCCUGCCUCCAAGAAGCUAUAGACGUUUCCGCGGAGUCCCUGGCGUCUCUACAACGACAGAUUACCUCCAUAGCCCAAGUCGCUCUGCAAAACCAACGUGCAUUGGACCUCAUCACAGCAAAAAAAAGAGGCACUUGCUUAUUCCUGCAGG